rnacentral:rRNA from 1 species
CUCCUACGGGAGGCAGCAGUGGGGAAUUUUGCGCAAUGGGGGAAACCCUGACGCAGCAACGCCGCGUGGAGGAUGAAGCCCCUUGGGGCGUAAACUCCUUUCGAUCGGGACGAUUAUGACGGUACCGGAAGAAGAAGCCCCGGCUAACUUCGUGUCAGCAGCCGCGGUAAUUC